GGAGGACAGCGGGAAUGGUCUCCUCGUUGAUGAGGCGGCAGACGGCGUUGAGGGCGGCGCAGACGACGAGGUAGUUAUCAGAGGCGAGAUCUUUCUGGAUAGUGUUAACGAUGAGGAUGAUGAGGUCGUGAUCGUCGCUAAGGAAGAGGGUGACGGCGAGGUAUCCCGUGCGCUUGAGGAGGAGGGCGUCGUCGUGAGUCAUCUUGACGGCGUGAAUGUAGCCGAAGGAGGCGUCGUGGCCGAGCAUCUCGACGUAGAGGAGGCGGAUGAUGUACUCCUUCAUCUUGCGCUUGGGCGUGUCU
rnacentral:lncRNA from 1 species